rnacentral:rRNA from 1 species
GAUGAACGCUAGCGGCAGGCUUAACACAUGCAAGUCGAGGGGUAUAGGUUUUCGGACCUAGAGACCGGCGCACGGGUGCGUAACGCGUAUGCAAUCUACCUUUCACAGAGGGAUAGCCCAGAGAAAUUUGGAUUAAUACCUCAUAGUAUUAUAGAAUGGCAUCAUUUUAUAAUUAAAGUCACAACGGUGAAAGAUGAGCAUGCGUCCCAUUAGCUAGUUGGUAUGGUAACGGCAUACCAAGGCAACGAUGGGUAGGGGUCCUGAGAGGGAGAUCCCCCACACUGGUACUGAGACACGGACCAGACUCCUACGGGAGGCAGCAGUGAGGAAUAUUGGUCAAUGGGCGCAAGCCUGAACCAGCCAUGCCGCGUGCAGGAUGACGGUCCUAUGGAUUGUAAACUGCUUUUGCACAGGAAGAAACAACGCUACGUGUAGCGUCUUGACGGUACUGUGAGAAUAAGGAAUCGGCUAACUCCGUGCC